AUUGAACGCUGGCGGCAGGCCUAACACAUGCAAAUCGAGCGGAUGAAGGGAGCUUGCUCCUGGAUUCAGCGGCGGACGGGUGAGUAAUGCCUAGGAAUCUGCCUGGUAGUGGGGGAUAACGUCCGGAAACGGGCGCUAAUACCGCAUACGUCCUGAGGGAGAAAGUGGGGGAUCUUCGGACCUCACGCUAUCAGAUGAGCCUAGGUCGGAUUAGCUAGUUGGUGGGGUAAAGGCCUACCAAGGCGACGAUCCGUAACUGGUCUGAGAGGAUGAUCAGUCACACUGGAACUGAGACACGGUCCAGACUCCUACGGGAGGCAGCAGUGGGGAAUAUUGGGCAAUGGGCGAAAGCCUGAUCCAGCCAUGCCGCGUGUGUGAAGAAGGUCUUCGGAGUGUAAAGCACUUUAAGUUGGGAGAAAGGGCAGUAAGUUAAUACCUUGCUGUUUUGACGUUACCGACAGAAGAAGCACCGGCUAACUUCGUG
rnacentral:rRNA from 1 species